rnacentral:lncRNA from 10 species
GUAAGUAAACAGACUUUAUGAGUAAGCAGAAACUGAAAUAGAGAUGGCACGGCAGCAAGAAGAGGGUAAGGUGGCUCCUGGAACUAGUGGGAGGAAUAGAUGCAAUCAGAGAGGAGCUCACUCACCAUAAAGGUGCUCUACGUGUAUGAAGUUAUUUAAUACUUAUAACAACUUUAUGAGAGCAACAAAGGCAAACUUUGGCAACCACUUGAUUGUCUAACUGAAAUGAGCUGAGCUUUGCAAAACUGGAAGAGAAAUAUGCCUUUUGGUCACUAUAUGUCAGAGUGCUGAAAGAAUGAAAUGGACGCAUGUCAGCCCAAAAACAUAAAGCAGAAAGAAACCAUUUCAUGUCCAGAAGCAUAUCCUAGAAGACAACUGCUAAAGAGAAGGGAUUAGUAAAAGAAAAAAAAAAAGAAGGAAAAAAAUCUUCAAAGCAAAUGAAAAGAAACAGACAGUUCUUCAAAACAAGAGAGGAAAUUGGAAAAAGAACAUUUGGGGAAGAAAAAAGCAUGUGGAAUUUCUCUAAACAGAAGAUGGAAUGAUCCAUUUUACCUGCAGAGAGUGCAAGGAUCAAGGAAAGGUUUGCGGCACUCUUGAAUUGAGCAAGAUCAUCAACACCAUUUUACUAACAGCAUGUGCUUACUUGGUGUCUCUGUGUCAUAUUUUAGUAAUUCUUGCAAUAUUUCAAACUUUUUCUAUAUUAUUGUAUCUGCUAUAGUUAUUUGUGAUAAGUGGCCUUCGAUGUUACUAUUGUAAUUGUUUUGUGGCAUCUCAAACUGUAUCCCUAAAAGAUGGCAAAUUUAAUCAAUAAAUGUGUGUCUUCUGACUGCUCUACCAACCAGCCAUUAUUCAAUCUCUUUCCCUGCCUUCAGGCCUCCCUAUUCUCUGUAUUGAAAUUAGGCCUCUAAGUGUUCAAGUGCAAGGAAGAGUCACACAGCUCUCACUUUAAAUCAACCUUGUCCAACCCACAGCCUGUGGGCUGCAUGCAGCCC